UACAGAGGAGCCAAGCGUUAUCCGGAUUUACUGGGCGUAAAGCGCCCGUAGGCGGCUUGAUAAGUUGGACGUGAAAGCUCCCGGCUUAACUGGGAGAGGCCGUUCAAAACUGACAGGCUAGAGUGAGGAAGAGGAGAGCGGAAUUCCCGGUGUAGUGGUGGAAUGCGUAGAUAUCGGGGGGAACACCAGUGGCGAAAGCGGCUCUCUGGUCCUAAACUGACGCUGAGGGGCGAAAGCGUGGGGAGCGAACGGG
rnacentral:rRNA from 1 species